ACAGCAGCAGCCACGGGAAUACGGAGGGUGCAAGCGUUAUCCGGAUUUAUUGGGUUUAAAGGGUCCGUAGGCGGAUCUGUAAGUCAGUGGUGAAAUCUCACAGCUUAACUGUGAAACUGCCAUUGAUACUGCAGGUCUUGAGUAAAUUUGAAGUGGCUGGAAUAAGUAGUGUAGCGGUGAAAUGCAUAGAUAUUACUUAGAACACCAAUUGCGAAGGCAGGUCACUAAGAUUUAACUGACGCUGAUGGACGAAAGCGUGGGGAGCGAACAGGAUUAGAUACCCCUGUAGUCCCUGUCUCUUACAC
rnacentral:rRNA from 1 species